UUUCAACUGUACACUUUGCCUUUAAUUUGAUUUAAAUAAUCAUAUAAUAGGACAAAUUAAAUAACAAUCAGUGUAUAAUUAUAUACAGAAAUUUUAUACCAAAAUCUACAAUUACUCAUUGGCAAAUAAAUAUAAUUAGUUAAAAGUUUUGAGCAUAACCGAAGCAAAAAGUCUGGUUAAAAAGAUACCUCUGUUAGCAAAACAAUCAUUUAAAAUAUAUAUUUGAAUGAUCUAAACCAAAGAAAUUGUCUGUAUCAUGAACUAAGUCAUGCCUUAAAUUCAACUGUCCAGGUCAGGGCUGCCAAAAUUAUUUUUAGCCAGCCGAACAUUUUAAAUAUUAUCCUGAUUUUAAUCCCUUAAGACUAAAUAGACAAAAAGCAAUUGUGGUCAUCAGUUGACCUCAGGGUUAAUUAACUUAAAGGUCUGUCUCAUGAACUAGAGUAUGCCUAAAGUUCAACAGUCAGGGGUGCAACUGCAAACAGUUUCCUCUAGUUAUUUUUCAAUAGCAUCUUUUGAAAGCUUAAGGUAAACAAAGGCAGUUAUUAAUUGAGCUUUUCAAGGGACAACACUUAAUGAAACCUUGUAUAAGUUUUAUUUCAAAUUUGUAGUUAAGUUUUUCUUAGCAACAGCAAAUCAAUGUUUAAUUAGAUGACAGAACUUUUUAAAUUCUUCAAGGCAAUGAUGGAUGAAACUGUUCUUAAUCAUGCGAGUGAAAAUACUUCAAAACAAUUUUCAGAAAGGUGUUAAAAUUCAAAUUUAAGUAAUUUUGUUGGUAUGCGUCAGUUCACAUGAAAAAAAGCUUGGUUUAUAAAGUAAAAACUCUAUAACUGAUGAAAAAUUGAAAUUAAAGAUAAACUUGUCAAAUAUAUAAACCCAAAUUAGUUAUUUUAAAAUUAGAAUCUGUACAAAUAGAAGUAAAACCAGUUAUUAAAAAAAAAAUAUUUUCAAUAUUGUUCAAUGCACUGAAAUAAAAAACAUGUACAUCAAAUACAAGUUUCAGCUCAUUUCUCAGCAGAUGUUCCAGUACAGAUUAUGCAAACUUUAAGAGAUCAAAAUUAAAAAGAGUUAUCUCCCUUUUUCAUAUUUCCCCUGUAAUUUAAAUAGAAUUAUACAAUAAUAAGUAUAUGGGAUUCUGUCAAUAUUGCAACAGUACUAUAGGCUAAGGUAAUACUGUCAAAAAUUCUUUUUUGAAGAAUAAUUUAAAAAUGCAAAUAUUUUAAAAACAAUCAACAAUAAAAUCAUAUUGCUUAAAUGUAUUUUACUCAAUAUAUCGUAUACUUAUAUAUACAUUAAAUUCAGAAAUCCAUUCGACAUUUGAGCAACAAUAAUUUGUGUAAAAUCAUGCAUAAGCCUUUAAUGUAGUUAUCCUUUUGAAGUAAAAACUAGCAAUAAUAACUAGAGGCUCUCAAGAGCCUGAGUCGCUCACCUUGGUCUAUGUGCAUAUUAAACAAUGGACACAGAUAAAUUCAUGACAAAAUUGUGUUUUGUGAUCAUGAUGUGUUUGUAGAUCUUACUUUACUGGACAUUCUUCUAGCUACAAUUAUCUCUAUCUAUAAUGAACUUGGCCUAGUAAUUACAGUGGAAAAUAUAUUAUAAAAAUUUACAAAAAUUUUUGAAAAUUGUAAAAAAAUGACUACAAAGGGCAACUAGAUGCUCCGCAGGGCACAGCUUUAUACGACCGAGAGGUUGAACCCUGUUGGGCAAGUAUGGACACAACAUUCAAGCUGGAUUCAUCUCUAAAUUUGGAUUGUGUUUAAAUAGUUGACACAGCAUAGGUUUCUGACACAUUAUGAAUGUGGUCUAAUGAACUUAAAAAUUUUUUUUUGCCUUUGAGCAAUUCACUAUGCUGUUGAAUAUUAAUCCUCUCAAAAAAAUGUUUGAAGAAAUUUU
rnacentral:lncRNA from 1 species